AGUGAACGCUGGCGGUAGGCCUAACACAUGCAAGUCGAACGGCAGCACAGUAAGAGCUCGCUCUUACGGGUGGCGAGUGGCGGACGGGUGAGGAAUACAUCGGAAUCUACUUUUUCGUGGGGGAUAACGUAGGGAAACUUACGCUAAUACCGCAUACGACCUACGGGUGAAAGCAGGGGAUCUUCGGACCUUGCGCGAUUGAAUGAGCCGAUGUCGGAUUAGCUAGUUGACGGGGUAAAGGCCCACCAAGGCGACGAUCCGUAGCUGGUCUGAGAGGAUGAUCAGCCACACUGGAACUGAGACACGGUCCAGACUCCUACGGGAGGCAGCAGUGGGGAAUAUUGGACAAUGGGCGCAAGCCUGAUCCAGCCAUACCGCGUGGGUGAAGAAGGCCUUCGGGUUGUAAAGCCCUUUUGUUGGGAAAGAAAAGCAGCAGGUUAAUACCCCGCUGUUCUGACGGUACCCAAAGAAUAAGCACCGGCUAACUUCGUG
rnacentral:rRNA from 1 species